AGUAAUGCGUGACCAACCUGCCCCAUGCUCCAGAAUAGCUCUUGGAAACGGGUGGUAAUGCUGGAUGCUCCAACUUGACGCAUGUCUUGUUGGGAAAGUGUUUAGUGGCAUGGGAUGGGGUCGCGUCCUAUCAGCUUGUAGGCGGGGUAAUGGCCCACCUAGGCUUCGACGGGUAGCCGGCCUGAGAGGGCGGACGGCACAUUGGGACUGAGAUACGGCCCAGACUCCUACGGGAGGCAGCAGCU
rnacentral:rRNA from 1 species